rnacentral:rRNA from 1 species
AUUGAACGCUGGCGGCAUGCCUUACACAUGCAAGUCGAACGGCAGCUGGCCCUUCGGGGUGCCGUCGAGUGGCGAACGGGUGAGUAAUGCAUCGGAACGUACCCGGGAGAUGUGUAUAACCGGCCGAAAGGCUGGCUAAUACCGCAUGAACUCGGAAGAGCAAAGCGGGGGACCUUCGGGCCUCGCGCCCUCGGAGCGGCCGAUGUCCGAUUAGGCUAGUUGGUGGGGUAAAGGCCCACCAAGGCGACGAUCGGUAGCGGGUCUGAGAGGACGAUCAGCCACACUGGGACUGAGACACGGCCCAGACUCCUACGGGAGGCAGCAGUGGGGAAUCUUGGACAAUGGGCGCAAGCCUGAUCCAGCAAUGCCGCGUGGGUGAAGAAGGCCUUCGGGUUGUAAAGCCCUUUUGGUGGGGAAGAAAUCGGUCAGGCGAAUAGUCUGGCUGGAUGACGGUACCCGAAGAAGAAGCACCGGCUAACUACGUG